rnacentral:rRNA from 1 species
UGGGGAAUAUUGCACAAUGGGCGAAAGCCUGAUGCAGCGACGCCGCGUGCGGGAUGAAGGCCUUCGGGUUGUAAACCGCUUUUGAUUGGGAGCAAGCGAGAGUGAGUGUACCUUUCGAAUAAGCACCGGCUAACUACGUGCCAGCAGCCGCGGUAAUACGUAGGGUGCAAGCGUUAUCCGGAAUUAUUGGGCGUAAAGAGCUCGUAGGCGGUUUGUCGCGUCUGGUGUGAAAGUCCAUCGCUUAACGGUGGAUCUGCGCCGGGUACGGGCAGGCUAGAGUGCGACAGGGGAGACUGGAAUUCCCGGUGUAACGGUGGAAUGUGUAGAUAUCGGGAAGAACACCAAUGGCGAAGGCAGGUCUCUGGGUCGUCACUGACGCUGAGGAGCGAAAGCGUGGGGAGCGAACAGGAUUAGAUACCCUGGUAGUCCACGCCGUAAACGGUGGAUGCUGGAUGUGG